rnacentral:rRNA from 1 species
GGGAGGUAGUGACAAUAAAUAACAAUACAGGGCUCUUAUGGGUCUUGUAAUUGGAAUGAGUACAAUUUAAAUCCCUUAACGAGGAACAAUUGGAGGGCAAGUCUGGUGCCAGCAGCCGCGGUAAUUCCAGCUCCAAUAGCGUAUAUUAAAGUUGUUGCAGUUAAAAAGCUCGUAGUUGAAUUUCGGGGUUCUACCGUUGGUCGGGCAAUUGUCUGUACUGGCGUGUGGAAUUUCUACCUUCUGGGGAACCAUCAUGUUAUUAAUUUAGCGUGGUGGGAAACCAGGACCUUUACCUUGAAAAAUUAGAGUGUUCAAAGCAGGCUUACGUCUGAAUACAUUAGCAUGGAAUAAUAAAAUAGGACGGUGGUCCUGUUUUGUUGGUUUCUGAAUCACCGUAAUGAUUAAUAGGGAUAGUUGGG